AUGACCAUUAAUAUUUACUCAUAAAUGGAUUUGUACACAGGCUCAACCAUAGCACAUCAGUGAAGACAAAAAGAGUUGUUACUCAGUUCUUUACCCUAGAAUAAAUCAAAUCAACAAAUAUUUAUUGAAUGUCUACUAUGUGCAAAUAGCCCUGGACUGUUCAGCUUUUAAAAGCCAUCCAACUUUUCACAUUAACAAAUCAAAGCAUUAUUAUUUCAAGCAUUGCAGAAGCUGCUUCCAUGUCCUUAAGGUGACAAAGCAUAUGAGGACUUUGCAAGUACUUGGAGUAAAGGAAGAGAAGAGAAUUCACAGAGUGAAAAGAGGAGAAAGAGUGCUCUAAAAUAUCACCAAUGGACUGCAACAUGUUGAACGUUGGCUACUACACUACUCUUUCUGUUGCUGAGGGUAAGAUGAAAAUAGGAAGGAGUCUGUUAUACUCUGGGAAAGUUAAUUUGUGCUUAGUGUUAAAAUCUCAGGUUAUUCCACAAACAGCAUCACCUGGUAACAACUGUAAGUGAACAUAAGACUUUAAAAUAUGUGUUUACUACAAAUCCUGAAAAAAAAAGCAGACCUUACUUUAUUUAAGAAGGCUCUUUGGAUAUUUUAAGGUAGUAAUCAUUGUACAGGGAAUUAAAUAAAACUCAACACUGUCACUUGCUAUAUCAUAUGAAUCAUCAAGAAUUGGAUAGAACUUUCCCCUCUCAAUACCCCGUAGCAAACUGGAAGAAAGCUGAUAUCUG
rnacentral:lncRNA from 10 species